GAUGAGCGCUGGCGGCGUGCCUAAUACAUGCAAGUCGAGCGAACAGAUGAGGAGCUUGCUCCUCUGACGUUAGCGGCGGACGGGUGAGUAACACGUGGAUAACCUACCUAUAAGACUGGGAUAACUUCGGGAAACCGGAGCUAAUACCGGAUAAUAUAUUGAACCGCAUGGUUCAAUAGUGAAAGACGGUUUUGCUGUCACUUAUAGAUGGAUCCGCGCCGCAUUAGCUAGUUGGUAAGGUAACGGCUUACCAAGGCAACGAUGCGUAGCCGACCUGAGAGGGUGAUCGGCCACACUGGAACUGAGACACGGUCCAGACCCCUACGGGAGGCAGCAGUAGGGAAUCUUCCGCAAUGGGCGAAAGCCUGACGGAGCAACGCCGCGUGAGUGAUGAAGGUCUUCGGAUCGUAAAACUCUGUUAUUAGGGAAGAACAAAUGUGUAAGUAACUAUGCACGUCUUGACGGUACCUAAUCAGAAAGCCACGGCUAACUACGUG
rnacentral:rRNA from 1 species